UACGAAGGGGGCUAGCGUUGCUCGGAAUCACUGGGCGUAAAGCGCACGUAGGCGGCUUUUUAAGUCAGGGGUGAAAUCCUGGAGCUCAACUCCAGAACUGCCUUUGAUACUGAGAAGCUUGAGUCCGGGAGAGGUGAGUGGAACUGCGAGUGUAGAGGUGAAAUUCGUAGAUAUUCGCAAGAACACCAGUGGCGAAGGCGGCUCACUGGCCCCGGUACUGACGCUGAGGUGCGAAAGCGUGGGGAGCAAACAGG
rnacentral:rRNA from 1 species